GUGCCUACGGGGGGCAGCAGUAGGGAAUCUUCCACAAUGGACGAAAGUCUGAUGGAGCAACGCCGCGUGAGUGAAGAAGGGUUUCGGCUCGUAAAGCUCUGUUGGUAGUGAAGAAAGAUAGAGGUAGUAACUGGCCUUUAUUUUACGGUAAUUACUUAGAAAGUCACGGCUAACUACGUGCCAGCAGCCGCGGUAAUACGUAGGUGGCAAGCGCUGUCCGGAUUUAUUGGGCGUAAAGCGAGGGCAGGCGGUGUAAUAA
rnacentral:rRNA from 1 species